GACGAACGCUGGCGGCGUGCUUAACACAUGCAAGUCGAACGGAAAGGCCCUGCUUUUGUGGGGUGCUCGAGUGGCGAACGGGUGAGUAACACGUGAGUAACCUGCCCUUGACUUUGGGAUAACUUCAGGAAACUGGGGCUAAUACCGGAUAGGAGCUCCUGCUGCAUGGUGGGGGUUGGAAAGUUUCGGCGGUUGGGGAUGGACUCGCGGCUUAUCAGCUUGUUGGUGGGGUAGUGGCUUACCAAGGCUUUGACGGGUAGCCGGCCUGAGAGGGUGACCGGCCACAUGGGGACAGGGAUACGGCCAGGGCGCAUACGGGGGGCAGCAGUGGGGAAUAUUGCAAGAUGGGCGGAAGCCUGAUGCAGCAACGCCGCGUGCGGGAUGACGGCCUUCGGGUGGUAAACCGCUUUCGCCUGUGACGAAGCGUGAGUGACGGUAAUGGGUAAAGAAGCACCGGCUAACUACGU
rnacentral:rRNA from 1 species